rnacentral:rRNA from 1 species
UGGGGAAUAUUGGACAAUGGGCGAAAGCCUGAUCCAGCCAUGCCGCGUGUGUGAAGAAGGUCUUCGGAUUGUAAAGCACUUUAAGUUGGGAGGAAGGGCAGUAAGCGAAUACCUUGCUGUUUUGACGUUACCGACAGAAUAAGCACCGGCUAACUCUGUGCCAGCAGCCUCGGUAAUACAGAGGGUGCAAGCGUUAAUCGGAAUUACUGGGCGUAAAGCGCGCGUAGGUGGUUCGUUAAGUUGAAUGUGAAAGCCCCGGGCUCAACCUGGGAACUGCAUCCAAAACUGGCGAGCUAGAGUAGGGCAGAGGGUGGUGGAAUUUCCUGUGUAGCGGUGAAAUGCGUAGAUAUAGGAAGGAACACCAGUGGCGAAGGCGACCACCUGGGCUCAUACUGACACUGAGGUGCGAAAGCGUGGGGAGCAAACAGG